rnacentral:rRNA from 1 species
AACGAACGCUGGCGGCAGGCUUAACACAUGCAAGUCGAACGGUUGUAGCAAUACAGCAGUGGCAGACGGGUGAGUAACACGUGGGAACCUUCCUAGGGGUACGGAACAACUCAGGGAAACUUGAGCUAAUACCGUAUACGUCCGUGAGGAGAAAGAUUUAUCGCCCUUAGACGGGCCCGCGUAGGAUUAGGUAGUUGGUGGGGUAAUGGCCUACCAAGCCUACGAUCCUUAGCUGAUCUGAGAGGAUGAUCAGCCACACUGGGACUGAGACACGGCCCAGACACCUACGGGUGGCUG